rnacentral:rRNA from 1 species
AGUGAACGCUGGCGGCGUGCUUAACACAUGCAAGUCGAACGAGAACGGAAUAUAGCUUGCUAUAUUUGUCAGCUAAGUGGCGCACGGGUGAGUAAUGUAUAGAUAACCUGCCCUUAAGAAAGGAAUAACAGUUGGAAACGACUGCUAAUGCCCUAUAUGCCUUUAAUACAUAAGUAUGCAAGGGAAACGCUUUAGUGCUUAAGGAUGGGUCUGUAUGGUAUCAGCUUGUUGGUGAGGUAAUGGCUCACCAAGGCUAUGACGCCUAACUGGUUUGAGAGGAUGAUCAGUCACACUGGAACUGAGACACGGUCCAGACUCCUACGGGAGGCAGCAGUGGGGAAUAUUGCACAAUGGACGAAAGUCUGAUGCAGCAACGCCGCGUGGAGGAUGACACAUUUCGGUGCGUAAACUCCUUUUAUGUGAGAAGAUAAUGACGGUAUCACAUGAAUAAGCACCGGCUAACUCCGUGCCAGCCGCCGCGGUAA